rnacentral:rRNA from 1 species
AUUGAACGCUGGCGGCAGGCCUAACACAUGCAAGUCGAACGAGGGGCGGACGGGUGAGUAAUGUCUGGGAAACUGCCCGAUGGAGGGGGAUAACUACUGGAAACGGUAGCUAAUACCGCAUACCAUCAGAUGUGCCCAGAUGGGAUUAGCUAGUAGGUGGGGUAAAGGCUCACCUAGGCGACGAUCCCUAGCUGGUCUGAGAGGAUGACCAGCCACACUGGAACUGAGACACGGUCCAGACUCCUACGUGAGGCAGCAGUGGGGAAUAUUGCACAAUGGGCGCAAGCCUGAUGCAGCCAUGCCGCGUGUAUGAAGAAGGCCUUCGGGUUGUAAAGUACUUUCAGCGGGGAGGCGUUACCCGCAGAAGAAGCACCGGCUAACUCCGUGCCAGCAGCCGCGGUAAUUC